rnacentral:rRNA from 1 species
CGUAGGUGGCAAGCGUUGUCCGGAUUUACUGGGCGUAAAGGGCGUGCAGGCGGUUUGUUAAGUGCAGGGUGAAAGCUCCCGGCUCAACUGGGGGAGGUCCUUGCAUACUGGCAAACUCGAGGGAGGCAGAGGAAAGUGGAAUUCCCGGUGUAGUGGUGAUAUGCGUAGAUAUCGGGAGGAACACCUGUGGCGAAGGCGGCUUUCUGGGCCUUACCUGACGCUGAGACGCGAAAGCGUGGGGAGCGAACCGGAUUAGAUACCCGGGUAGUCCACGCCGUAAACUAUGGACACUAGGUGUGGGGGGUAUCGACCCCCUCCGUGCCGAAGCUAACGCAAUAAGUGUCCCGCCUGGGGAGUACGGCCGCAAGGCUA